rnacentral:tRNA from 1 species
GCUGGCGUAGCUCAGUUGGUAGAGCACUUCACUCGUAAUGAAGGGGUCGGCGGUUCGACUCCGCCCGCCAGCU